rnacentral:lncRNA from 1 species
GGUACGUGGCACUUGCUGUACCGGUACACAAUGCAUUUUUUUCAGAUUUUGCAUUGUUUCGGGUUUUCAACGUUCCGAGGUACUUUCUAAUCCAUUAAACUUUGAGUUUAUGAUUCUAAUGCCUAUAACUAAGUAUGAAUCACCAUAACAUGAAUUAAAACUCUACCUUUGCGUCGUGAUUCACAUUGUGAGCAAUUUUCCAAAAUCUUCGAAAUCUUGAAUUAUUCAAUCUUCAUCAAUCCGCUUCGAUCCUUCAAGACUCCGACUCACUUCACGAAACUUGCCAAUACAAAGUUCUUAACAAUCUCCCCCAUUGGCAAUUUCGUGACAAAACUCACAAAACUCAAAAAUACAUAAAAGAAAACCGAAGUUCAAUGUCAUUACCAAAACAAUGAACUCCUCGCGUGUAAUCCAAAUAUAAUUGAGAUUCAAAAUUACAUCAAAAACUCUUAAAACAGACUCUAUGACUUAGACGCAACUAGGAGUCUUGAAGUCUUGAUUUCCUGCAAAACAUUUCAUUCAACAAUGAUUAACCUUAGAUUUUGAUGGUUGUAUCGGUACGUGGCGCUUGCUGUACCAGUACACAAUACAUUUUUUUCAGAUUUUGCAUUGUUUCGGGUUUUCAACGUUCCGAGGCACUUUCUAAUCCAUUAAACUUUGAGUUUAUGAUUCUAAUGCCUAUAACUAAGUAUGAAUCACCAUAACAUGAAUUAAAACUCUACCUUUACGUCGUGAUUCACAUUGUGAGCAAUUUUCUAAAAUCUUCGAAAUCUUGAAUUCUUCAAUCUUCAUCAAUCCGCUUCGAUCCUUCAAGACUCCGACUCACUUCACGAAACUUGCCAAUACAAAGUUCUUAACAAUCUCCCCCUUUGGCAAUUUCGUGACAAAACUGACAAAACUCAAAAAUACAUAAAAGAAAACCGAAGUUCAAUGUCAUCACCAAAACAAU